AUUGAACGCUGGCGGCAGGCCUAACACAUGCAAGUCGAACGAGUGGCGGACGGGUGAGUAAUGGCUGGGAAACUGACUGAUGGAGGGGGAUAAAUACUGGAAACGGUAGCUAAUACCGCAUACCAUCGGAUGUGCCCAGAUGGGAUUAGCUAGUAGGUGGGGUAAAGGCUCACUUAGGCGACGAUCCCUAGCUGGUCUGAGAGGAUGACCAGCCACACGGGAACUGAGACACGGUCCAGACUCCUACGGUAGGCAGCAGUGGGGAAGAUUGCACAAGGGGCGCAAGCCUGAUGCAGCCAUGCCGAGUGUAUGAAGAAGGCCUUCGGGUUGUAAAGUACUUUCAGCGGGGAGGCGUUACCCGCAGAAGAAGCACCGGCUAACUCCGUGCGAGCAGCCGCGGUAAUAC
rnacentral:rRNA from 1 species